rnacentral:rRNA from 1 species
AACCCAUGUGAACCAUACCAAACUGUUGCCUCGGCGGGGUCACGCCCCGGGUGCGUCGCAGCCCCGGAACCAGGCGCCCGCCGGAGGGACCAACCAAACUCUUUCUGUAGUCCCCUCGCGGACGUUAUUUCUUACAGCUCUGAGCAAAAAUUCAAAAUGAAUCAAAACUUUCAACAACGGAUCUCUUGGUUCUGGCAUCGAUGAAGAACGCAGCGAAAUGCGAUAAGUAAUGUGAAUUGCAGAAUUCAGUGAAUCAUCGAAUCUUUGAACGCACAUUGCGCCCGCCAGUAUUCUGGCGGGCAUGCCUGUCCGAGCGUCAUUUCAACCCUCGAACCCCUCCGGGGGGUCGGCGUUGGGGAUCGGGAACCCCUAAGACGGGAUCCCGGCCCCGAAAUACAGUGGCGGUCUCGCCGCAGCCUCUCCUGCGCAGUAGUUUGCACAACUCGCACCGGGAGCGCGGCGCGUCCACGUCCGUAAAACACCCAACUUCUGAAAUGUUGACCUCGGAUCAGGUAGGAAUACCCGCUGAACUUAAGCAUAUCAAUAAGCGGAGGAAAAUCAUUCCUGAUCCUACAACUCCCAGCACAUGUGUGAUCUAUCAUCCGUUAGCUGGCGGUGGUUGAGCGGGGGUGCUCCUUCUUAGAACNUGAGCCGCCGGAGGGUAAAACGCUCUUUCUGUAGGCUCUUAGAUAUUUUUGCACACGCGUUAGACUCAAAGCAGAUAUAACUUAAAUCCACCCUGGUCGCUAUCUAGAUCAUACAAGAACCUNNGAGANNACGUGCAGAAGGGCGAGAAUCAUACGGAGUAAAUAAGUGCCUCUUCACGAGUAGCUGCGUGCGAUCUAGAUGGAGCGACUUGUACUAGCGCCUUUUAUCUAUAGACACUAGAGGCGAGAGCCUAGCUGAGCGGUCCUCCUCCCAGCUC